rnacentral:rRNA from 1 species
GUAGGUGGCAAGCGUUGUCCGGAAUUAUUGGGCGUAAAGCGCGCGCAGGUGGUUCUUUAAGUCUGAUGUGAAAGCCCCCGGCUCAACCGGGGAGGGUCAUUGGAAACUGGGGAACUUGAGUGCAGGAGAGGAAAGUGGAAUUCCACGUGUAGCGGUGAAAUGCGUAGAUAUGUGGAGGAACACCAGUGGCGAAGGCGACUUUCUGGCCUGUAACUGACACUGAGGCGCGAAAGCGUGGGGAGCAAACAGGGAUUAGAUACCCUGGUAGUCCACGCCGUAAACGAUGAGUGCUAAGUGUUGGGGGGGGUUUCCGCCCCCGUCAGUGCUGCAGCUAACGCAUUAAGCACUCCGCCUGGGAGUACGGCCGCAAGACUG